GUGUGACCUCAGAAUGUGUAUUCCAGUUGCAUUCCAAUGACGAUGACAAUUGUCGAUUUCAAAACUUGAAUGUGUAUGAUUGUGUUACAAAAUCAACCAUGUCAAUUUCAGCAUGCAUGUUUAGUGAAUGUCAAGUCUGAAGCGUAGGACAAGUUGUACACUUCUGUUUCAAAUUUGAUAAUGUUUUGUUAUUUGUUUUUACU
rnacentral:lncRNA from 1 species